rnacentral:rRNA from 1 species
ACGCUCGACACCUACGGGNGGCAGCAGUGGGGAAUAUUGCACAAUGGGGGAAACCCUGAUGCAGCGACGCCGCGUGAGCGAAGAAGUAUUUCGGUAUGUAAAGCUCUAUCAGCAGGAAAGAAGAAAGACGGUACCUGACUAAGAAGCCCCGGCUAACUACGUGUCAGCAGCCGCGGUAAUCUGAGCGGGCUGGCAAGGC